UUUGGAUUAAAAGUAUAUUAAAAUUAUACUUGUUUCUAUUUACAUUUUUAUAUGGAUAGUAGAAAAUUUAAGAUAUAUAUAACUCAUUAUAUUUCUAAUAAACAGUGCUAGUUUAGAAAAUAGCUUUUAUGUUAUAGCACAAUACAAGUUCCAAAUUUCAAUAAGCAGAAAUGAUACAUAAUUUUCUGACCCUAAUAUAACAAACGUAAAAUUAAUAAAAGCAGCUUUUUUAGGAAGUUUUUUCUCCUAUAUUCUGCAUUAGGGAGGAAAUCCUUUUGAUAAACUAUCCUAAAGAUAAUUUUAUGUAUAAAAAUGCAUCAGAUAUGCUUUAAACUUUAUUGAAAUUACUAAAAGUGUAAAUUAAUAGAUAGCAGAUUAACUUAGGAAACAAAUAAGGACUGAUGUUACAGUAUGGAACAGGUUACAGAAUUAAUAAAAUAUAUACACACCUGACAAGGUUAAUUUUGGAGAAAAUGAACCAAACCAACAAUUAGAGUAUCAAAAUACAUCAAAUUUAACUCAAGAAAAAGAACUGAGAACAAAAUUAAAAUAGUGUCAAAGGAUUACCUUCUCUAAUCCAUGCACAUUUUUCCCAGCAGUGUCUUUCGCACAUGAAACCAAGAUGACUCAGUUUGCACUUAGUUUUUCCAGAAAACUUGGUGGGGUGUUUUAUAACAUUCACCUAAAGCCAAUUCUUAAAUCUAAGAGUACACACACACA